GAGGCACUCAGUGCAGUGCUUAUGCAGCAUGAUAAACUCUGCCAGAGGAGAGGUUGCCCUGCUGCUCAACUGUGGGACUGUAUUAGCAAAAAUGCAGCUCUCAAAGAUGUCUCUGGACAAGGAGAAUAACUUGAGGCAGAAAUUUUCUUCCUUUUUCUGAAAUAAGGUUCACUUGACUUCUGUGAUGAUUCAGAGGAAAUAUAGGACCAACACACUGGCUAGAGUUGUGUAUAAUAUUGCAAUGUCGUCUAUCCCAGAGUUGAACAUGACAUCAGAUACUGGCAAGAAAACAUUAUUAAGCAAGGUAGAAUGCUGUCACCCAACUGCAAUGCUUUUUGGGACCAGCUCUGAGGCAGUGGAUGACAACUGUUUAUGCAUCUCUGGAAGAUGAGGAAACUGCAAAAAGAACCAACAAGCUUUGCAGAUGAUUGUCUUGGUCUCAGGGGAGCAGAGGAAGAAGCACUCCAAUAGAACUAAUCAAGCUCCUGAUAUAUUUACAAAAGGAAAACUUAAGAAGCAACUUUUUGGAAUAAGAAGUUAAGGAGGACUGAUAAGACACAGGAAGACAUUCWCAGAUGAACAAACGUAGACAUGAGYGAUAAGGGCAGCUCCAGGAUCCAAGUGGAACCUUCCAUUUGUGAUCCUUUAASAAGAGAGGUUCUGUUUAAAUUCAGCAUUCUUUGUGACAAAAUGUCAUUGUGAGUGGCUUCUCUGCAAGCCAUGUAAACUAGCAAUGUCCUUGUGCUAGAAUGGUCCCACAUCCAUAAACAGUGGGCAAGAGUUAACACUCCCUUUUCAAGCUUUUGGGUUAUGCCUCUAACUGUAGUUUGAAGUAAAUUGCUCCUUGGAUAAGCAGAGGACUUGAAUCUGAAGGGCUGUCAACCUAGCACCUUUCCCAAGUAUAAAAUUCACUUAGAAAGAAAGAAAAAGAAAUCCAAUAGCUGYAAGACCUGAUAAAGUGCUAGCUAAAAAGGGAGACCCAGAGGAGUGCAAGAAUGAUUUAGCGUGAAAAAUCAUUCUCACAUGAGUACUACAUCAUGUCAACCCUGUUACUACCAAGAUGGGAACAACCAAAUAGGCAAGAACAUUUUAAAAAGAAUAAAGAAACAAAUUCCUCAGUGUGAGAACCAGUCUCAUUUCAGCUCUUACUGCUACAGCUGCUUCUAUAUAAACCAAAGUUCAGAAUUGGCUGAUUGCUACCUUAGAUGUCAUGUACUGCACCUGUGUGAGGCAGACAUGGCUAUGACAGCUUACAGUUAAACAAAAAAAAAAACCCUACCUCUUCAGAAAGAUAGUGAAUUUGUUGUCUACUGUGACAGGUAGCAUAGGAUGGAUAAAAUCUCUUCACAAAAGGCAUGCAUGGUCCAAGUUAGAAAAGAGACCCAGGUGCCUAUAUGUUAAGGCAAAUGUGCUAGUUUGUUAACAUGAAGUCAGUUGCAUUUCUCCUAUUUGGGCUGAAUGGGAAGGACUCCCAGCCUGAACUUUAGCACACUGCAGGCUGUAGACCUUGAUGCUCUAUUUCCCAUUUCUUGCGCAUUUGAAGCCAGGUAAGGCUGUAGCUAGAUGAAUCCACACAUGACUAUUCCAAUCUGUUAAACUGCAGGGACUAAGCAGAAAUGAUUCCAUGCAAAUGUGUGUGGGAAAGGAUAUAAAGGAGUUGAAACUUAGAAUCCAAGGUUAAUAUCCAGUGAACUAGUGCAAUAAGCUAAGUAUACUUGGAAAAUAAACACCUCAUUUUAAACCUUAAAUCCUGUCAACAUUGGCAUUGUUUAAAACUGGCAAAAAAAAAAAAAAGCCAGGAGUAUUCAGUUUGCUUAGCAUGAUAAAUAAGUCUUACAUGGAUUACAGAAAAUAAUUUAAAAGAAGUGACUUUCUGAUAUUACAGUAUUGUACUUAAAAGAAAAUUGCACUGUAAGUGCAUUCACCCUUUGAUUGUUCUGAAGUGGUACAAAGAGCAAAAAGGUAUAACAGCUUAACUGAAUGUCAUUCAYGUAUUUUCUUGUUUAAAAUGUGCUGAAAUUUACUUAAGUUUGGAUGUUGCUUUGUAGUAAGCACCUGCUAUCUUCUAGUAAAGCAUGACUUAUCCUUUGUUUGAUCAGUUUCUUCAAGUCUGAUGAAAAAAAAAGUUUGGUUUUAUGAAUAUAUAAAUAGGAAUUCAAGUUGAUCUGUGUUAUCAGCCUAUAGGCAGAUAUAUUUAAGAUUUAUUUUUCCUUUAAGGCCUAAUUCAGAUAUCAGUUGCUUGGCAUUAUAUUAGUUUAGUAGCUCUCAAAUUAGAUCAUAAUUACUAAUCAGUGUUUGGAAUUAAAAGCUUUUCUCUGAAUUCCAGAUUCAAAUAUACUAUAAAGAAAGAAUAACUGAAAGGAGAUGUGCCUUGCAAUAGGUCUUCAGGAGUGAAGUGACAGGAAAGACUGCCUGAGCUGCAGACUGCAGUGUAUGGAGAUACUCAGAUUUUUCCUUUUCUUGUGUUGAUGCAGAAAAUAUUUAAAUGACACCAAAUUAUCUAUGGCUUGGAAAGAUAAGGAGUCUUCCAGGUCUGCUGUUUCAGAGAGCAUCCACUAUGUAUAUGAACAAAUCCUACCUCUAACAUAUUUAAUUCAUGUUAUACUCUGUUAUGUAGUGACAACUGAAUAUUUUUGAAGAAUUGAUGCUUAUAUAAAAUGUCAGUGUAUUUCUACAGAGAAUUUUAAGCCCAAAUCUUGCCCCAAAGUCUACAUCUGAGGUAUAUUCUAUUUAUAAUUCUAUGAAAAACUCUUCAAGGGUUGUAUUUUAAGAUUACAUGAUUUUCUUCUGAGCU